AGGCCGACGUUUUUGUAAGAUCGCUAUACGGUAAUACCAACCGGUGGCUGCGGCCAUUGCAAAUAAAACCAGUGAAUAGAGAAGUCUUGUGCGUCGUUUUUCUUAACUUUCGCCCAAACCACCCAGCAACACAGAUUCGGACGGAAUCUGCACAUGGUCCUUCGACGAGAAAAAGCAACCAGCCGGUGGAGCUUUCAUCACCCAAACUGGAAAAAUAUGGUGCACAAAUGCCGAAUGUGCCACAAAGGGCACCCACUUCGCUUCUGCGCGAAGUUGCUUAAACUGGAUUCCUUAGAACGACGACAGGCGGCUCGACGAAUGGGAUACUACGCCAACUGCCUGGCAUCCACACAUAGGCUGCACGAAUGCAAGUCAAAGGAAGUGUGCCAUCGAUGUGGAGAUUUGCACCACACCCUCUUACACGCUGUCCACAACGGAGGACGUUCCAUAUCACCAAGCAACAAGCAGAAGUCUAAGGUUGUGGCUAAAAGCACCACACCCAAGCGGAAAGUCGAGGAAAGAAGAAGCCGUUCAACGACACGUCGUGCUUCCAGCGACUACCAAACGCGGCAAUAUAAGACACCAUCUCGCCCUUUGCUGCAUCUGCAAGAGGCAAUCCGAAAUCUCACCAAGCUGAAGGAAAUUUUGGACUAAGCUCGGAUCCUUGCCUGGCAAAAGGGGGCGGCAUGUUAGCGAACGCUAACUUCAGAAUCUCAUUAGUAAUAUCAUGUUCUCAUUAAAUAAUUCUGCAUUGUAAAUUCCACGUUUCAUUAGUAAAAUCAUGUUCACAAGAACUAAUUCUGCAUUGUAAAUACCACAUUUAUCAGUAAUAGAAUGUUCACACUAACGAAAUAAUGUAAAACUGCGUAUUGAGCCAAAAGGCCGACGUUUUUGUAAGAUCGCUAUACGGUAAUACCAACCGGUGGCAGCGGCCGUUGCAAAUAAAACCAGUGAAUAGAGAAGUCUUGUGCGUCGUUUUUCUUAACUUUCGCCCAAACCACCCAGCAACACAGAUUCGGACGGAAUCUGCACAAAAAUUAAAGCCAUGAGAUUGUUGUUGCUGCCAGAAGGGGUUUUAAAAAUCUUGCGGAGAGUUCUCACAGAUGAGUUUGUUGUGGGAUUUAAUGUUUAAGGACUUUCUGGAAAAAAAAGCCCAAAACUCCUUUACACAUUUCUUUGGAGCACUUCAAGAAUCUGUUAACGCAGAAACAUUGAUUCCCAAGGCAAUUCAAUUGCAGAAGAUACGAUUUUUUAAAACCAAAUCAAAAUCAAAUAACAAUAACAAUGAGAAACUCAAUAAAAAC